UUAGGUGGCAUUUGACAAGUAUUUAGUCUUGGGUUAAUUCACCCCAUUAGUGAGGCAAGACUCUUGAAUACUCUAAUAGGUAGAUGCCUCAUGAGUUAUGAAAUGUCCCAUUCUGGCUAGUGGGAACAGACACUGAUUGUGGUCAUAUGUGAGUGCUGAGAAGUAUUCCCUCUAGUUCUUUUGGGACAUCCUUUCUCCAUCUUUAGGUAGUUUCUUCAAACCUGUAUACUGAUCAGCUGUCUCAUGAAUACGGGAGAAAACCUGCAGGUCUCCGGGAGUUCUCUCCCUGUGCAACUUAUCGCUUUUCAGUGCUGUGUACCGGCCAUUCCAGCUGCCUUUGUUUCGCUGGACUCUCAGCUGUGUCUUCUGAACUCACAUUUCAUAACUCUGAGUGCAAGCUGUAAUCACCUUUCAACAAGAAAAUAGUGCCUAAACUUUACCCCAAAAUCUCAGAGGAAGAGAGUGAUACCAGUAUUUUUUUUAAAGACUAAUAUUCUGUUAGGGCUGAGAACUCUAGUAUCAUACUAUUUUUAUUCCCAUGGUGCUUCCCCUUAAAUUCUCAGCAAUCACAAACUUGUCAUUUUCUAUCAAUGGACAGACUGAAACAGUUGUAUCAGUCAAGGUCAAAAUCAGAGAAGCAGAACAAAGAGUGAUCUAGAAUAAGAGUCUGAUUCUAGGGAUUCAAACAUUAUGCCACUGGGAUUGCUGGUGGAGUAAUCUGCUGGACUGUAUGUGGUGCUGGGCCUGAAGUCACCGUGGGUCAGCCAGACCAGGAGUUGGGAAGGAAAGGUGAACAAGAACAAAAGCAGGAACCAACCAAAAACUUCUAGAAAAAGAUGGAGCUUACAUCUGUCUUUCAUUACUCCACCUUAUGUGACUUGGAUGGCCUGAGGCCUGCAGGAGUAGCUGGCACCUCUAGCUAUAGGGCUGCACAUAUCUUUGGCCCAGAACACGGAGAAGUUUGAGGAGAUGUGUCAGCAGCUGGAGGAGCUGCGGGUUGGGUGCUGCCACAUGCCAACAAGAUUACUCUAGUUUGAUGUCAUAAUUUCUCAUGGAAUUAAAACUGGACUCUUCAAAAUGAUAGAGUUGUCUGAAUUUGGCUGCAAUGCGAACUACUAAUCGAUUCAAGCUUGUUAUCAAGACACCUAGAGAUCACCAGGGGAACAAGAGAAGCCAGGUGCAAGGGGCCAGGAAUGUUAUGCUAGAGGCACUUCCUCCACAUGGAAGGAAAUAUCAAAAGUGAAGAGGAAACAUUCCUCUCUGUUCCCCAGUCCUGCUACUGCCUUGCGUCAGUUUUAUCUGUUUUAAAAAUUGUGCUACCAGAGAACUCAGUGUUGUGUGAUACAUUAUUAUAUGUGCUUUUUAUUGAAAAAGCCCUUUUAGAAAACCUGCAGCUCUCUGUCUGCCAUUGGCCUUAGACAUGAGUCCAGUAAGGACUAGGCUAGGAGACAAAUCAACAUGACAGUUGCUGUGCUGUCAGAAUGAUUCUCUCCUUCCCUCCAACUUAGCUAUCAUGCUGUACAAUGCUCUUUGCUUCUGGCUGAUUUUUCCUUUAGCUGAGUUUUCUCCCAGGGCACUCCUUACUUUUGCAAGAAAUAGACUUUAGGCUGGCUUGCUUCACAAACAAUUUGUUCUAUAUGUGCCGAUAUGCACAAAUUAAAUUGAGGAUCUGCUUUAUGUGCUAAUUAGUUUGCAAGAAAUAAAAUUCUCAAGGUUAAGAUGGGUCUAUAGCUGCACUUUUUAGACAACUUGCAAUUGCUUUACCUCCCAUAGCUUCAGGUAUCUUCUCUAUGUAGUCGCCUUCUAAGCGCAAGUCUCUAUCCCUGCCCUCUUUCCAGCUGCCUGCUAGAUAUCCCCUUGCAGAUCUCCUCUGGAAACACAAUUUCAGUCUUUCCAAAACUGAACUCAUCAACUCUUACCUGUUCUUCCUGUUCUUCUCUUUCACUUAAAGGCACAAUCAUCCUAGUUGCUUAGGUCCAAGGUAUUCUAUCGGUCUGGGAUAUUGUUACCCACAGCAAUUGUUGUCAUAGUUCUCUUCUUUCAAGAGCUAACCCAGUUUCAUCCUCCUGUAUCUCUUCAGUCAAAAUGAAUCCCCUUUUCCUUUAUUCCUAUAGCACUCUAUAAUUAUUUAAAGCAUUGGCACCAUCUCCUUUAUAUUGUCUUGUAUCUCCUAUUUGCUUAAA